UACGGGGGGGCAAGCGUUGUUCGGAAUUACUGGGCGUAAAGGGCUCGUAGGCGGCCAACUAAGUCAGACGUGAAAUCCCUCAGCUUAACUGGGGAACUGCAUCUGAUACUGGAUGGCUUGAGUUCGGGAGAGGGAUGCGGAAUUCCCGGUGUAGUGGUGGAAUGCGUAGAUAUCGGGAGGAACACCAGUGGCGCAGGCGGCGUCCUGGACCGGCACUGACGCUGAGGAGCGAAAGCGUGGG
rnacentral:rRNA from 1 species